rnacentral:rRNA from 1 species
AACGAACGCUGGCGGCAGGCUUAACACAUGCAAGUCGAGCGCCCCGCAAGGGGAGCGGCAGACGGGCGAGUAACGCGUGGGAAUCUACCCAUCUCUACGGAAUAACGCAUGGAAACGUGUGCUAAUACCGUAUACGUCCUUCGGGAGAAAGAUUUAUCGGAGAUAGAUGAGCCCGCGUUGGAUUAGCUAGUUGGUGGGGUAAAGGCCUACCAAGGCGACGAUCCAUAGCUGGUCUGAGAGGAUGAUCAGCCACACUGGGACUGAGACACGGCCCAGACUCCUACGGGAGGCAGCAGUGGGGAAUAUUGGACAAUGGGCGCAAGCCUGAUCCAGCCAUGCCGCGUGAGUGAUGAGGCCCUAGGGUUGUAAAGCUCUUUCACCGGUGAAGAUAAUGACGGUAACCGGAGAAGAAGCCCCGGCUAACUUCGUGCCAGCCGCCGCGGUAAGAC